UUCAAAUGGCAUUUAGAGGCUUUUGCAUCUGAACUCUUCAUUUACUCGCACUUUCUUUUCAGUGAAAACAUGUAAUCUAACAUCUGAUUGGCUGCUGCAGAUCACCAUAUGCUUGUGUGUUCUUUGAGGAGGUGUGAACAGUUUCUGUUGGAAGAGUAUAAAUAAUGGAUGCAGAUCCACUUCUCCUUAAGGCUGCAAUGCGCAUCAACAAAAAAUUAUCAUCAGCAUGAUCUUAUCCGAGGGAUAUGAUGAAGAGCAGGACAAUGAUGAUGAUGAAGUUGAUGUACAUACUGAAAUAAGCAUCUGUUGCCAAGGAUAGAUUGCUUGCAGUCUUUGACUCAGGCUGGAUCAACAGUAUUUGGUGACAUAAGCCUGUGUAUAGUUAUAUAUGCUUAUAUCACAGAGACAAACACACAUCUUCUGUUGUGAUAUCGUCGUGGCAAACCUUACACGUAUGAUUUCCUUGCAACAAUCCUGCUGCAGGACCAUCGCUUUUCUUCAGACUACUCUGCAUUUGUGUCCGUUUGUGCAACAGUGAAGAAAAACGCUGCCGCUGGAAAGAAGAAUGAAAUGUUCAUGGAGAGGUGAUAACCUGAUGGUUAAAGAGCUACUGGUACAGAGGUUGAAAAAAUGUGAGCCAGUUAUUUCUGUGAUUACAAACUUCUUCAAUCACCAUUGUGCCAUAGCAGGACUGACUGUUUCUACAUGUGGACUCUCUGUUUCUACAUGUGGACUCACAGGCCUUUGUUUGAAAUACAAUCUGGACGGGCAUUUGUCCAGUAUAUGUGAAAAUGUUUUACAUUGCUUUUUUUACAUUGCUAUAUGAGGUCAAUGCCCAUUUGACGGUCAUAUGUAUUUAUUGGUGUAUGUCCACUAGGAUACACUCUUAAAAAUAAAGGUUCUUUAUUUCAUGGGACAAAACCUUCCAACUUUCCAAUGCGCAAAAAGGUUCUUUAGAUUAUUAAAAUGUUCUAGAAAAAAUGGUUAUUUUUAACAACUGUUCAAGAUUCUUUAGGGAGCCCAAAAUGUUUCCUCUGUGGCGUGACUGUAAAACCCUUUUAUAACCUUUAUUUUUUUGAGUGUAGGGUUCACAUGCCCUCUGAUUUUACAGAUUGGCCUGGUAGUAAUCCGGUGGAUCAAAUAUCUUAAAAAAGGUUACACUCAACAAACUUUACAAUGGGUAACUAUGUUUACUAUUGUAUUGAGAACUUAUUUCAUACAAAACUGUCCAAAUUAAAGGACCUUUAGAUCUAGCCAGAAAUAAAUACUCUAGUGGCUUUCAUUGAGUAUAACCAACCAGCUUGGUUUGUAGCAAUAGGGACAUUAGUUUUCAUACAAAUACAAUUUAUUUUGUCUUUGUGAAUUUGCUAAUGUGCUACAGG